CUCAGGAUGAACGCUGGCGGCGUGCCUAAUACAUGCAAGUCGAGCGAACGGACGAGAAGCUUGCUUCUCUGAUGUUAGCGGCGGACGGGUGAGUAACACGUGGAUAACCUACCUAUAAGACUGGGAUAACUUCGGGAAACCGGAGCUAAUACCGGAUAAUAUUUUGAACCGCAUGGUUCAAAAGUGAAAGACGGUCUUGCUGUCACUUAUAGAUGGAUCCGCGCUGCAUUAGCUAGUUGGUAAGGUAACGGCUUACCAAGGCAACGAUGCAUAGCCGACCUGAGAGGGUGAUCGGCCACACUGGAACUGAGACACGGUCCAGACUCCUACGGGAGGCAGCAGUAGGGAAUCUUCCGCAAUGGGCGAAAGCCUGACGGAGCAACGCCGCGUGAGUGAUGAAGGUCUUCGGAUCGUAAAACUCUGUUAUUAGGGAAGAACAUAUGUGUAAGUAACUGUGCACAUCUUGACGGUACCUAAUCAGAAAGCCACGGCUAACUACGUGCCAGCAGCCGCGGUAAUACGUAGGUGGCAAGCGUUAUCCGGAAUUAUUGGGCGUAAAGCGCGCGUAGGCGGUUUUUUAAGUCUGAUGUGAAAGCCCACGGCUCAACCGUGGAGGGUCAUUGGAAACUGGAAAACUUGAGUGCAGAAGAGGAAAGUGGAAUUCCAUGUGUAGCGGUGAAAUGCGCAGAGAUAUGGAGGAACACCAGUGGCGAAGGCGACUUUCUGGUCUGUAACUGACGCUGAUGUGCGAAAGCGUGGGGAUCAAACAGGAUUAGAUACCCUGGUAGUCCACGCCGUAAACGAUGAGUGCUAAGUGUUAGGGGGUUUCCGCCCCUUAGUGCUGCAGCUAACGCAUUAAGCACUCCGCCUGGGGAGUACGACCGCAAGGUUGAAACUCAAAGGAAUUGACGGGGACCCGCACAAGCGGUGGAGCAUGUGGUUUAAUUCGAAGCAACGCGAAGAACCUUACCAAAUCUUGACAUCCUUUGACAACUCUAGAGAUAGAGCUUUCCCCUUCGGGGGACAAAGUGACAGGUGGUGCAUGGUUGUCGUCAGCUCGUGUCGUGAGAUGUUGGGUUAAGUCCCGCAACGAGCGCAACCCUUAAGCUUAGUUGCCAUCAUUAAGUUGGGCACUCUAAGUUGACUGCCGGUGACAAACCGGAGGAAGGUGGGGAUGACGUCAAAUCAUCAUGCCCCUUAUGAUUUGGGCUACACACGUGCUACAAUGGAC
rnacentral:rRNA from 1 species